UCUGUGGGAAGGCAUAGAGGUA
rnacentral:miRNA from 1 species